CCUACGGGAGGCAGCAGUGAGGAAUAUUGGUCAAUGGACGAGAGUCUGAACCAGCCAAGUAGCGUGAAGGAUGACUGCCCUAUGGGUUGUAAACUUCUUUUAUAAAGGAAUAAAACGAGGCACGUGUGCCUUUUUGCAUGUACUUUAUGAAUAAGGAUCGGCUAACUCCGUGCCAGCAGCCGCGGUAAUACGGAGGAUCCGAGCGUUAUCCGGAUUUAUUGGGUUUAAAGGGAGCGUAGAUGGGUUGUUAAGUCAGUUGUGAAAGUUUGGGGCUCAACCGUAAAAUUGCAAUUGAAACUGGCAGUCUUGAGUACAGUUGGGGUAGGCGGAAUUCGUGGUGUAGCAGUGAAAUGCUUAGAUAUCACGAAGAACCCCGAUUGCGAAGGCAGCUUACUAAACUGUGACUGACAUUGAUGCACGAAGGUGUGGGUAUCAAACGGGAUUAGAUACCCGAGUAGUC
rnacentral:rRNA from 1 species